rnacentral:lncRNA from 1 species
AGAGUUUUGCCAGAAACCCUUGAGUCUGGAGUGGUACGGCUGGAGUCCAGAUUGCAGUCUGUGGAGGAGUGGACAGGAGGCAACAAAAGCAAAUAUCGAAAAGGAGUAGAACAGUUGGAAUUUAUAAUCUUCCUUCUGAACUAACAGGCCAUGGCUGCCAGUGUAUUCUUUUUCCCAGAUCUUGACAAUCAACAGCUCAGCAAGGGGAACAUUUUAUAUUUGCAUCCUGAAAGGAUGGCAGACCCAGGCUUUUAGCAGACCCAAGUAAGGAGAGCUAAGACAAUGAGAGAAUGUGUGGCGGCAGAAUUCUCUCAGCCUGUGAAGCCCAGGAUUCCUGCCUGGAUCCUACAAGUUGGAUUGGACUGCUCCACUGGAUGAAGAUAUUAGUGUUGCAAAUCCAUCAGGGAUUUAUUCACUCUAGAAAGUUUUUAUAUAGUGGAAAAUAUAAUGGAGGAUGUUUCAUUUUUCUAGAAUAUCCAUUUUCCUUUUGUUUCAGUAUAUCAGGAAGCACUGCCCGAUACUUGUCAGUCUCUCUUUAGUGUUAGGUUUCUGAUGUAUUGUCCCUCCCCAUGAUCCUUUUCCCCGAGAAACAGGGACAGAUACUGGAUUUUGAAUGCUCCUGCUUGGGGCAGGCAUCCCUUCCUGGAUCACAGCCUGGCCUGGCCUUGUUGUGCAGCAGGCUGGUGGGGUUGCUGGGAUACCCAGGGGUGACUCUGACAGUGCUCUGGUGGAUUGAGGUGAUUAGUUACAGCCAACUGCUUGUUUUCAGGGAUUUAUUCCAUUUUCCUACUUUGUCAGCAUCAUCUAAUUGGGGAUCAGAUGCUUUCAGUCAGCAUCCUUUGCAGUGCAAGGAGCUCCAAAAAUCUUUUUUUUUUUUUUUUUUUUUUAACUCUGGGAAUAUGCCCAGGCCUGAAUAAAUAAAUUUCCCCUCUUCGCACUGAAGGAAGUAUAUGACUUUUAAAGGAGUAGGUGAACACAUAGGUGUUUUUCUUUUAAACACAGAAUGCAACACUGUUUUGUAACAGUGGAGGAAGUAGGAAUGAAUAUAUAUUUCGAGGAUUAUAAACCAGUGCAUAGCCUUCUGGAGGCAAUUUUGUUAUGUUUAUCAAUAUUUAAAAUGCACAUACUCUUGAGGGAGGAAUUUUACUUCUGAGAAUGUAUCCCAAAAGUAUACUAGCAUAUGUGAUCAAGGAAGAAUGUACAAGG